GACGAACGCUGGCGGUGUGCUUAACACAUGCAAGUCGAACGGUAAGGCCCUUUCGGGGGUCCACGAGUGGCGACCGGGUGCGUAACACGUGAGUAACCUGCCCUCAUCUCUGGGAUAACAGUCGGAAACGGUUGCUACUACUGGAUAUGAGCUUGCAAGGCAUCUUGUGGGUUGGAAAGAUUUUUUUGGUUGGGGAUGGACUCGCGGCCUAUCAGCUUGUUGGUGAGGUAGUGGCUCACCAAGGCCUCGACGGGUAGCCGGCCUGAGAGGGCGACCGGCCACAUUGGGACUGAGAUACGGCCCAAGCUCCUACGGGAGGCAGCAGGGGGGAAUAUUGCACAAUGGACGGAAGUCUGAUGCAGCAACGCCGCGUGCGGGAUGACGGCCUUCGGGUUGUAAACCGCUUUCAAUUGUGACGAAGCUUUUUGUGACGGUAGCAGUAGAAGAAGCACCGGCUAACUACGUG
rnacentral:rRNA from 1 species